AUUGAACGCUGGCGGCAUGCCUAACACAUGCAAGUCGAACGAGUGGCGGACGGGUGAGUAAUGUCUGGGAAACUGCCUGAUGGAGGGGGUUAACUACUGGAAACGGUAGCUAAUACCGCAAACCUUCAGAUGUGCCCUGAUGGGAUUAGCUAGUUGGUGGUGUAACGGCUCACCAAGGCGAAGAUGCCUAGCUGGUCUGAGAGGAUGACCGGCCACACUGGAACUGAGACACGGUCCAGACUCCUACGGGAGGCAGCAGUGGGGAAUAUUGCACAAUGGGCGAAAGCCUGAUGCAGCCAUGCCGCGUGUGUGAAGAAGGCCUUCGGGUUGUAAAGUCCUGUCAGUAGGGAAGCGUUACCCACAGAAGAAGCACCGGCUAACUCCGUGCCAGCAGCCGCGGUAAUAC
rnacentral:rRNA from 1 species